UGCUGCAUCCACCUGAGAUUAUGAAGACCAGCAAUCCCUGGGAGACUGCAAAUCCACUCCACAGCCAGCUGCUGUUGGAGGAGAGCUGCAGCCUUGGAUACUGAAAAACGAAUCUCCUAGACUCGGCCAGUCCCAGCAAGCUGGAGCGCUGCAUCAGACUCUCCUGCAUGCUGUACCAGAAGAUGAAUCCAGCAAUGGGUGGGCUCAAGACUUAGUCUAUUACAAGAGCGAAGACGUACUGAAGAAAGAUGCAGAUGGCUCUCUCAAAGCAUCAAGGUCACUGUCGACUUCUACACAAAAGGGGAAAUGAGUGGCUUCCAGAUUCUUCAAUCCCCAUUUGUCAUACCCUUAAUGACUUAUGUUAUGUGUGUAUAAAACUGGAUACGUGUUUAUAAUUCUGGGGGUGGAGUGGUGAAGAGAAGGGUUUUACUUUAGAAUAAUUACUCCUGGGGGAAUUCUGCGCCAAAAAAUUAAAAAUUCAGCAUACAAUAUUUUCAAAUGCUGCAAAUUUUAUUUGUCAAAACACUAUAUAAUCAUGCCAGUUUCAAUUAUUUUGGUAACUUAUUUCAAAAUACCUGACAGCAAGUAUGUCUAGCAAUACAGACACAAAAAUUCCCCAGGAGUAAAGAGUUAAAGAAACCCCUACGACAACCCAGUUCCAGCUUCUCUUCCCCCUACCCCUCAGAGCCCAGCUGGGGGGUCUGACACUCACACCACCUAUUCCCCAGAGCCCAGCCGCAGGUCCCCCCUGGCCCAGCUACUCACAGCCCCUUCCCUCCAGAGUCCAGGGAUCCAGAAGAAGAAACAGCCUGAUACAGAGUCCCGGGCUAGCACGGCAUUUCCUGCAUGUCACCACCGCCUUCCUUCAGGGCAUGCUGGGAACUGCAGCUGCGGGGAACCCUCCAGUUCCCUUCCUCUGACCUUCUCUUCUAUUUGUGAGUUGGGCUCUGCCAGGUCCAGUGGCCCCUAAUGGCGGCCAACAGCUCUGCAACACAUUUCUUUGGGGAAAAAAGGGAAAUUCUGCGCACACAACAUUAAUUUCUGCAAAAUUCAGCAUUGUGCAGUGGCGCAGAAUUCCCCCAGGAGUAAAUAAUGGAACCCUGUAUAACACACCAUGAAAUUAUCUUGUCCAUCCUACUUCUGUGCAGAGCAAGUAGGUUGGGGAGCAGGGGGAAAUUGGACCAUUCAAAAUACCAUUGGGGGACAGACAAGACAGUCACUUAUGAAAAUUAUACUACAUUCAACAGUGCAGCUGUUCUUUUUCAACAAAGUGCCCUACUGUGAAAGGCAAAAUGUCUGAAUUAAUGUAGAUCAAGCCCCCCCCAACGAAAAAACAAGACAAGCACAAUGAGUUCAUGCUAACUGCAAGACAAUCCGUCACAGUACUUGAUUAAGUUGAGUUACUCUUCUAUAGUUACGAUGCACUGUGGCCAUAGGUUACCUUUUAUCUUUAAUUAUUUUUUGGCCAUGGAUGCCUUUGUAAUGCAUGGACACCAUUGUAAAUUCAAGAGAGAGUAUAUAUUUAAAAGAUUAACAAUAUUACUCUCUCUUACUACAGCAAGUAUGCAUAAUUACCAAACCAUACCAAAGCACUGCUGUCUCACUAAAGCAGAGACAAGGGGAUGAUGUGUUAGGAGUCUAGCACACAACUGUGUAUUCUCCAGUAUCAGAGGACACACAGCAGCUCCUGAAUGGAAUGCAAGUUGGAAAUCAACCUUUCCAGACUUCAUCUGAGUUUACAGGGCACGGGCACAUGACACCAAUAAUCACAGUGAGAGGGGAACAGUGCUCAGAGAAAAAUCAGUACUCUGACGUUUUGUGUGCUGAUUUCUUUUGCUGUAAUUUCCAUCUCCUAGAGCAGUGUUUCUCAACCUUUUAAUGCUGGCAACCCCGCUACUUGAAAAAAUUGAGACCCUCUACCCUAUCUUAGCUCGGCCUUUGGCUUCAGCCCCGCUGCCCAGGGUUGAAACAUGUGAACUGGCAGGAAGCAGGGCAAAAGCCAGACGCCCCGCAAACCUAUCUAAUGCUGACUGUUUGUAACCCCCCUAAACCCUCACUGCGACCUCCGCUAGGGUCACGAACCCCAGGUUGAAACGCUGUCUUAGGAAGCCACACUGGAGACAGCUUUCCUUCAGGAGCAAUUUGCUCUUCUAAAAAAAGAAUUCCAUUAUUAGUUAUCUGGGCUAGCCGCAUAUUACAAAAACCCCAGCCGACAUUCAGACUGUACAGUUGUGAGUUUGGGAAGAGAUUUUUAUCAGUUUGAUACCUCUCAUUGAAAGUCAAUGGGAAUUAGGCACCAAGCUGCCCUAUGCACUUUUGAAAAAAAAAAAAUCUCACCCUUAAAUAAACAGAAAAAUAAAAAUACUUCAGCACUACAAAAAAAUAAGUCCUUCAUAAAACACUAAUGACUCUUCCCAGGCCCACUGUGAGGUAGGUAUAAUACAGAUUUUACUGAUGAGAAAACUGAAGCACAGAGAGGUUAAGUGACUUAUCCUAGGUCAAAGAAGGAAUCUGUGGCAGAACUGGGGUCGGCACUCCUAAAUUCUGGUUCCCGGUCCUUUGCUCAAGCCAUGAUUUAUCUCCAAAUGAAGCAGCUGAAGCACCACUACUGGAGCUAUUUAAGAGGAGAUCAGUGGCACAAGAAGGCAUGUUGUAGGAGAAUAUACUGCAUGGUAUAUAGGAAGUUUAAGGUUCUGCUGUCAGAGAUCCCUUAAAUUACCAGAUCAAACGCAACCACCUUGUCUGCCCUCACUUCUUCCCCAUUACUUUAGUCACAGUCAUCAAUUUCCACAUAAUCUGUACGCUGAGUCUGCAAUGUCAUCUUCUAAAUCUCUCACUGCCAUUUGGAGGAUCAAUACCUUUGUUUCCUGGUAAGGUUUCUAAAUCUUCCACAAAACUAACGUUUAGUAUCCAUUUACUUUCAAAGCCAGCAAAGUCACAGACCUCCUUGACAGGGAAUCUGUUUCCUCAAUGAACAGAGUAUUAACACAAGCACAGAUAGUUUGCUGGAGAUUAUAGUAUUUCCAAAAGAGCCAAGAAGCUGUUGCCUACUCGUUCCCACUAGGAACAUCAGAGGAUGUGGUGCAAUUUCACACCUGGGGAACUCUCAUCCACUGGCUGAACUACAAGUUACAUUAUUAGAUAAGGAUAUUUUCGAAAGAGACACUAGCUGUCCAGAUAUGGUAUCCCUGCUAAGUAUGAGGGGGAAAUCCUUUUUCUUUCACUGAUGACACAAAUAUGUUCUUGAACCAGAAUUUAUACAAGGAAAUUUGUGUUUCUUCAAGCUUUAUGCUGAUUAUAGGAGUCAGCAAGUGGAUAUUCACAUCCCUGAAUGCUUGUGUAUUUCAGCAGAACUAUGUCAAUCAUUCCUCGGCUAGAUUCUAGCCCAGUGUUUUGGACACAUGCCUACAAGCGGCAAUGUAGAUAGACUAUUCAAAAUGAACUGGUUUAUUGUACAUGAUGUGCCCUUCUAUAAUUAUACGCUAAAAACGUUCUGAGUUAUUUGAACAGAGCAUCAGAGAACGGCACAUGUGACAACUUUGCUGAAAGCCUCAUUACAUUCUCCUAAUUCCUUGAUGGGAUUUUUCUAAUAUUAAGACCAGACAGUACUUGAUAAAAAGAACUCCUUUAUUUCCAUAUUCUUAUGGAAGAGUAGCACCUUCUCCAAUACUUUGAGGCCUGCGAUGAACACUCAUGAAGUGCGUACUGCAGCACAGCUUCUUAUGAAUCCAAAGUUCCUCGGUUAUAAUCUUCAUGCAGGAGGGUUGUGCACCACAGUGAAGUAUCUGUAGCUUCCUCCUUGGCAGGUCUUAUGCCAUAAAUUUCAGGGUGGCCCAGAACAUAUUUAGAAGUGAGCUUGGGUAAUAAUUCUCUAUUUUCCACCCAAUACAAAUGAACAGAAUGGCUCAGGCUUUCUAAAGUUUCCUUUGAUUCACCUUUAAGUAGAGACCAAGUUUAGAAAGGCUCAGCAAAGGUGUGAGUGUUUUUGAAAAAUUACAGUUGUCUGAAGACAGGAAGCUUCAUUCAAAACCUAGAGUGGCAGCUGACACGUCUACUAGAAUUUAUUUUUGCCUCAGUAGCAAUCAGUGUUUUUCUUGUUCAAACCAGUGUAUAAAAAUGACUUUUCCUAUUUGCUAUAAAUCGACUAGUGUGGAAGUACUGUGGUAACAUAGUACAACAUGGUUGCCUAUAUAACAUAGGUACUGUAUAUCCUGCUCUGAAUGCACUGGACCUGCAUUCCUAGUUGAUGCAACAGGAAUUUCCACACAGAAGAGUAUAUCUUGAACCUGAACUAAAAUGGGGGUAAAUCAUCAUAUGUAUGCAUCAUUUAUUGCCUAUAAUUCCAAGCUGCUCAAGAGAGAUGCUGUUUAAUACUUGCAAGGCUUUACAUGUGGCUUUUAUAUAAAAAAAGCUCUCUCAGAUUUUGAGAUAUAAUGGAAGAAUAUUUUUAAAAUUAAGAGAAUAUUGAGCUCUUAUAUAGCACUUUUCAUCAGUAGAUCUCAAAAUGCUUUACAAAGGAGAGCAGUAUCAUUAUCCCCAUUUAACAGAUGGAGAAACUGAGGCACAGAGUAGUGAAGUUACUUGCCCAAUUUCACCCACUAGGACAGUGGCAGAAGCAGGAAUAAAACCUAUAUCUUCUGAGCCCCAGUCCACUGUUCUUUCCACUAGGCCAGCCAAGUGUUUAAAACAGGGAACUAAAAGUCAGGAGGUCCUGGGCUAUUUUUUCCCCACCACUGUUAGUGACUGACUGUAACUUUGAAUAAGGUCACUUAAUUCCUGUGUCUUAGUUUUCCCCACAGUAAAAUGAGGGUAACAACAUUCAUUUAACUCACAAAGGGGUUGUGAAGCUUAAUUAGCAUUUAUUCAGCGCUUUGAGAUCCUCAAAUAAGAUGCGCUAGGGAAGGGCAACAUAAUUUCUUUAAGCAACAGACUCAAGUGAUGACAGCACUUUUCUCCCUCUCAGUCUCCUUUGACUGCUGGAGUUUUGAAGAACUUACUAUCAAGCCUCGCAAUUCUUUUUGUUCAGACUGCUGUCUGCAUUGUGGGAAAACCUCACUACUGUAUCCAUUAGGAUCAAAAUUCUAGUCAGCUUUGCAAACUUCUGACAAUCUGGUGAGGCAGAAAAGUGAUAGCAUCCUGGAAGACAUGAUACUUCAGUACAAUAUAAAACCCUGCCUUCCUUAAUCGCAGUCAUUAUAAACCUUUUAUGUCCUCCUCACAGAAGGGUUUUCCUGUAUUCAGUGUUUAAAGAAUUAAAUAGACCAGGAGACAAUUUGUCUUUAAAUUCUUAUUUGAAAAAGGAAAUCUAGCUUCUGUCUCCUCAUUUAAUUUUCUUAAUAAUUAAGAAAGGGUCCCUCCUGUCCACCCCUCCUGCAACAAUUUUAAGAAACACACCCCUGUAUUUAAGUUACGAUUUUUGCUUUGUACCAUGGUUUUGAGAAAAUUGGCAUGUAGCUACUUACAAAAUAUUGCAGUCUACUUUUUACUGACUAUCAACACUACCAAAAAAUCCCCCACGUCUGAAGGCCCAGGUACAAUGGAGUUAAACAAGGGCCUAAAACAGAUAAACCAUGGUUCUGUGUUGUAAAGUAGAUGGCACCUGUGUUGCACCUACAUACUUGAAUUAUGCUACAACAUUGGGACAGAUCAGAACUAUAACAAGGUUUAACCCAUACUCCCAAGCCAUGGAGAUAUCCCAUCUACACAGUAAAACUGAAGUGUUGUAACAAGGAUUCUCAACCUACAGGUUGUGGCUAGGUGCCAGAAGGUUGCAACCACCCUGCUCUAUCCAUACAGUUAGAGCAGGGGUUCUCAAACUGGGGGUCAGGACCCCUCAGGGGGUCGCAAGGUUAUUACAUGCGGGGGGUCAUGAGCUGUCAGCCUCCACCCCAAACCCUGCUUUGCCUCCAGCAUUUAUAAUGGUGUUAAAUAUAUAAAAAAGUAUUUUUAAUUUAUUAGGGGUGGUGUCAUAAAUAUAAAGGGAAGGGUAAACACCUUUAAAAUCCCUCCCUGGCUAGAGGAAAAUCCCUUUCACCUGUAAAGUGUUAAGAAGCUAGGAUAACCUCGCUGGCACAUGACCAAAAAUGACCAAUGAGGAGAUAAGAUACUUUCAAAGCCGGGGGGGAGAAACAAAGGUUCACUCUGUGUGUUGUUUUUGCCAGGACCAGAAAAGGAAUGGAGUCUUAGAACUUAGUAAGUAAUCUAGCUAGAUAUGCGUUAGAUUCUGUUUUGUUUAAACGGCUGAUAAAAUAAGCUGUGCUGAAUGGAAUGUAUAUUCCUGUUUGUAUUUUUUUUUUUGUAACUUAAGGUUUUGCCUAGAGGGAUUCUCUAUGUUUUGGAUCUGAUUACCCAGUAAGGUAUUUACCAUCCUGAUUUUACAGAGGUGAUUCUUUUACUUUUAAUUCAAUUAAAAUUCUUCUUUUAAGAA